rnacentral:rRNA from 1 species
AUACGUAGGUGACAAGCGUUAUCCGGAUUUACUGGGCGUAAAGGGCGUGUAGGCGGUCUUGCAAGUCAGAAGUGAAAUUCCUGAGCUCAACUCGGGCGCUGCUUCUGAAACUGCAGGACUUGAGUGCUGGAGGGGAUAGCGGAAUUCCUAGUGGAGCGGUAAAAUGCGCAGAUAUUAGGAAGAACACCGGUGGCGAAGGCGGCUAUCUGGACAGUAACUGACGCUGAGGCGCGAAAGUGUGGGGAGCAAACAGGAUUAGAUACCCUGGUAGUCCACACUGUAAACGAUGAAUGCUAGGUGUAGGGGGUAUCGACCCCUUCUGUGCCGCAGUCAACACAAUAAGCAUUCCGCCUGGGGAGUACGGCCGCAAGGUUGAAACUCAAAGGAAUUGGCGGGG